rnacentral:rRNA from 1 species
AGCCAGACUCCUACGGGAGGCAGCAGUGGGGAAUAUUGGGCAAUGGAGGCAACUCUUACCCAGCAAUGCCGCGUGAAUGAAGAAGGUCUUCGGAUUGUAAAGUUCUUUAAUUGGGGACGAAAAAAAUGACGGUACCCAAGGAAUAAGCCCCGGCUAACUACGUGCCAGCAGCCGCGGUAAUACGUAGGGGGCAAGCGUUAUCCGGAAUUACUGGGUGUAAAGGGAGCGUAGACGGCAAUGCAAGUCCGGAGUGGAAUGCGGCAGCUCAACUGCCGAACUGCUCUGGAAACUGUAUGGCUUGAGUGCAGGAGGGGUAAGCGGAAUUCCUGGUGUAGCGGUGAAAUGCGUAGAUAUCAGGAGGAACACCGGUGGCGAAGGCGGCUUACUGGACUGUAACUGACGCUGAGGCACGAAAGCGUGGGGAGCGAACAGGAUUAGAUACCCCCGUAC